CACGUAGGGCGCAAGCGUUGUCCGGAAUUAUUGGGCGUAAAGAGCUCGUAGGCGGUCUGUUGCGUCCGCUGUGAAAACUCGGGGCUUAACCCCGAGCCUGCAGUGGAUACGGGCAGACUAGAGGUAGGUAGGGGAGAAUGGAAUUCCCGGUGUAGCGGUGAAAUGCGCAGAGAUGUGGCGGAACACCGAUGGCGAAGGCAGCCCCCUGGGCUGAGAUUGACGCUCAGGCACGAAAGCGUGGGGAGCAAACAGG
rnacentral:rRNA from 1 species